CCAUUCUGUUUCGGUUGGUCACACCAAUUGUAUCGUUUACGAAGACCACUCGAGGACACAGUCACCCCCUUAAAAUGCCCAAGCACUGGAAAAGACCCUUGACCCAGAUGUACAAAAUCAACUAUAACUACGGAACUUCGCUGUACUCAAACUGUCUGGACGAGUUGGACCGCAAAAGCAAUAACCGCCUAAGCGGAACCUACGACUAUGGAAGCGGAAGUUCGUGCAGCGAGCGCCAUAUCCGAACCGCCAACCAGCUAAUGGAGGAGCUGAAGGCUGAGGGCGAUGCUUUCGUGGCUGAUCAGAAGCACAACACGACGACAGAGAUCGCUGCGGUAUAGACGCGGAUGAUGCUAGAUGCGGUUUUCGAUCAGCAGCAGCAGACGAACUUAUCGUGAGGUCGAUACAGCAGGUCCAGGCUCGUCGAAAGCGUAUCCUGCACUCAAUCGAAGUUUAAUAACCGGAGACGAAGUAACUUAUAACAUUCUCCCCCCAUCCCCCUAUAAAUUAAGUUACGAAUAUCAGUCAUUCGCUACUCGUAGCUUCCCUUUCUUAGUGCGGCCUUUAUCUAUUACCUAGCUAAUACGAUGAUGGCGAGAACAUGGUCUUUGUUAGACCAUAGAAAUUAAACACGGCUCAUCUAAAUUUCGAUCUUAGUCAAGUGUUCGGCGACAAUCGGAUAAAAAUACAUUCAUCCAAGAACAAUGCUAUCAUAACGAGAUACGUAACGGCGUUAGGGUAAGCAUGACAAAAGGUGAUCGGGAAGUGCACACUAUUUAGCUUUUGCGCCAAGUGAUUUAAGCCAAAAAUGAACAAUUGGGCAGUAAAAAAGAGAAAAAAAAAAAACACAAGAGCUUCUCGCGAUAUGCUCUGUACAGACAUUAGUUUGUUUCACAUACAUACCUCACACGCAUAGAUGCGUAUACCGUCAUAUAUUGGUAAUACGAACAAAUAAUACAAUACCGUCAUCUCGGAUAGUGGUAUCUAAAUAUAACCUGCUGAACUAUAGGUGAAAGAGCUAUUGAAUUGAAACUAAAAGACCUGAGAGGAAAUAACGACAGAAACGGGCGCAGAGUACCAAGAUUCGAUUUGUUUUGAAGUGGUGAACAGGGCAGUAUUCGAGGGCCUGAUCGCAAUAUGGUAUAUGUAUAGAGUCAUGUAAAUAAAAAUAUAAAAACCAACCGACAGCGGAUAAUCAACAUGUUACACGCCCCACGAUCGAUCAUGGAAAAGAAAUAAAGCGAUGGAAACAGCUGAUACCAGUUGAGCUGAA